rnacentral:rRNA from 1 species
CCUACGGGGGGCAGCAGUGAGGAAUAUUGGUCAAUGGACGAGAGUCUGAACCAGCCAAGUAGCGUGAAGGAUGACUGCCCUAUGGGUUGUAAACUUCUUUUAUAUGGGAAUAAAACGUUCCACGUGUGGGAUUUUGUAUGUACCAUAUGAAUAAGGAUCGGCUAACUCCGUGCCAGCAGCCGCGGUAAUACGGAGGAUCCGAGCGUUAUCCGGAUUUAUUGGGUUUAAAGGGAGCGUAGGUGGAUUGUUAAGUCAGUUGUGAAAGUUUGCGGCUCAACCGUAAAAUUGCAGUUGAAACUGGCAGUCUUGAGUACAGUAGAGGUGGGCGGAAUGCGUGGUGUAGCGGUGAAAUGUUUAGAUAUCACGAAGAACUCCGAUUGCGAAGGCAGUUCACUGGACUGCAACUGACACUGAGGCUCGAAAGUGUGGGUAUCAAACAGGAUUAGAUACCCUUGUAGUC